UGUCUUUGUGUAUAAACCAGUGGUCAACAUUGGGUAUCUUCUUCUAUUGUUUCUACAUUUAUUGAUUGAAUAAUUGUUUGAUUGAUGAUCGAUCGAUUGAUUGAUUGGUGUCUUUGGUUGAGGUUUUCACUGAGACUGAAGCCCACCGACUGACUGAUCAGUGAGAUUCCAGGAUUCUCGCAUCUCUGCUUCUUAGUGCUCAGACUUCAGGUGCACCCAUAGCAGCUGAAUUCAUAUGUGACUGCUGGAGAUGACUCAUGAUUCAUAACUGACCCCUGACACACUGAGCAUCUACUUAGCCUCUAAAGAUUAUUAUGUCAUUCCGCUUACUAUUUUACAGACUAUGAACAAACAGGGAUCUUUAAUAAUUCUGAUCUACUAUCCUUCACCAUGUGAUUUAAAACUAACUUUGUUCAUUGCAGAAUUUAGAUAGACCAACACACUCACUAAGAAAGGAAGAUAAUUUCAGAUCCCAGUGGUUUGCGGGGAAAUUUGUGAGAUCCUUGAGAACUUAUUAUUUUUAUUAAGCUGAAUUUGACAAUAGAGUAGCACCCACAUGUGUAAAGCAGCUACACCCUCAGCAGGCAUGAGUUUUCUGAAGCUCCCUUUUUUAAGUGCUGCCUCUUUUGACUGCUAAGAAAAACAAGAAAGCAACUAAAAGUCUGUGGUGAGCUACACAUUUCAUCACUGUAUAUGGAACUUGUGGCCUAUGAUCACACAAAACCCCAUUUCCUGCUUGAGGUAAAAUAAGACACACAGGCAGUUCAUGUGCACACUGCCUGUUGCUCAGACUAAGAGCUGAGCUGGGACAGAACGGACACACUCAUGCAGAGGGACAAGUGCCACAUGCUUCCUCAGAGCCUGCUCUGUGUGCUGGUGGCCUUGGCUUUGUCUGGUAUGAUGCAUCAUGAUAACUAAGGGUAUUAAACAGGAAACAUUGCCCCAGGCAUAUGACAAUUCCUAUAGACAUGAGGGACAGGAGGGAUUGGAGGGAAGCCAGAGCAAUGUGUAUUCAAUGAGAUUUCUCCUUGGGUUCCAAGGUGCCCAAUUCCAACAAUGUUUGGUUCACACUGUCACAGAAUAAGCUUUUAAUUCAUUCUUCUGGUUGUUUUGCAGGAUGUAUUGUGGCCCAGGAAGUGACUCAGGUCCAGUCAACAGCAAGCAGGCAGGAGGGGGAAGAAGUCACCCUGGACUGUUCAUAUGAGACAAGUUAUGUCGUAUAUUAUCUUUCUUGGUACAAGCAGCUUCUUAGUGGAGAUAUAAUUUUCCUUACUCGCCAAAUUUCUUCUUCUACUGCAGAAGAGAGGAGUGGCCGCUAUUCUGUAGUUUUCCAGAAAUCACUCAUGUCCAUCAGCCUUGUCAUUUCAGCCUCUCAGCCAGAGGAUUCAGGGAAGUAUUUCUGUGCUCUCAGUGAUUUGACACAGUGUUAGAAGUGACAGCACAAGCUGAACAAAAACUGGGGCUCCCUAAACAGAAGCCCUCUGAGGGAGGGAGCCCAGCUGAGAUGCACACCUGCACAUCCUGAACAAGAAGAUCUCAACUGUGGAUGCUCCGUCUGUGUCUGCAUCAGAACUGUGUUUCUAAGUAAAACCUCAGGGCAUGCAAUUGAGAAAGAAUUAUGAACAUACCUCAGAGGAGGCAUCUGGAAUAGCAAAGAGCAUAAUUUCCUGGAGAAAGUUACACUCAGAAGGAGAUCCAGCAUGAGUGAAGUAGUCAGAGACAGACUAUAAGGAUUUCUCUCCAUGAAAUACUGGUGGUGACUGAGUUACUCCACCAAUCUUUACCUUUGUAUCUAGUACUGAGCCUGAGGUACUGAAGGUCAGCAGUUGGGGAGGACAGGUAAAUGAGUAUAGCACCUGGCUGUCCUGAGACUUGUGAGAAUUCAGUGAGACUCAGAAAGCCAAUGGAAUCUAGAAGGAUAAACCUCCCUCACCUCCUCAGUCCCUCUGGUUUGGGGGAGCAUCAGAAGAAGUCACGCCAUUUGCCAACGUGAUACACACAGACUCAACCUGAAUAAAGAAAAGCUGCAGAAGUGAGGAGUAGAGUGUCAAUGGUAAAGUCAGCUGGAAUCUAAUGGACAUCAAAUAUUUAUGGGGCCUGAAUCUGCAGGGCUAUAUAAAAAUAAUUAAAUAUAUCACUCCUGUUUCUUAAUUCUUCUACAGUUGCCUUUUCCAUGUCCACCCCCAAAACACAGCAACAUGUUUCCAGAUAUGUUUUUAAAGAUUAUUUUUUAUAUCAUGUGUGUAACCUUUUUGUCAGCAUGUAUAUAUGUGUACUGGGUGAAGUCUGGUGCUCAUUGAGGCCAGAAGGGGAUAUUAGAUUCUGGAAAUUGGAGUUAUCGAAGGAAAGGAUUUACCAUGUGAAUGUCAGGCACUGAAUCUAAGUCCUCUGCUAAAGCAGUGACUGCUUUUAACUAGUGAGUGUAUGUUCCAGGUCCUGUUUCUACGUAAUUUGUAUAAACUGUACAUGAUAAAGGAGGUAAAUAACUUCAAUUCACCAAUUAAAAACCAUAGGCUACCUGGGGGCAUUAACAAAGAAUACUAUCUGUGUCUCCAGGAAACACUUCCUACAGCUAAGUACAUCAAACACUGAAAGUCAAACCAUAGAGAUCAGCAUCGGACGUAAUUGAGAGCUGUAGUCAUGGCACUGCACGUCUCAUAUUUGACAAAGAAGACUUCAGACCACAGCUAGUCAGAGAGCUGAGGAGAGUCACUGCAUAGCCACAGAGGGUCUGCACCGCGGUGCCCCAAGAUAUCUGCUAGAU
rnacentral:sRNA from 1 species